rnacentral:rRNA from 1 species
UGUUCCCAUACCGAACACAGAAGUUAAGCUCAAUAGCGCCGAAAGUAGUUGGAGGAUCGCUUCCUGCGAGGAUAGGACGUCGCGAUGC